CGGUUGCUAAUACCCCAUAUGCCGCAAGGUAAAAGGAUGUAUCCACCUUAGGAAGAGCUCGCGCCUGAUUAGCUAGUUGGUGAGGUAAUAGCUCACCAAGGCCAUGAUCAGUAGCUGGUUUGAGAGGACGAUCAGCCACACUGGGACUGAGACACGGCCCAGACUCCUACGGGAGGCAGCAGUGGGGAAUUUUCCGCAAUGGGCGAAAGCCUGACGGAGCAAUACCGCGUGAGGGAUGACAGCCUGUGGGUUGUAAACCUCUUUUCUCAAGGAAGAAGUUCUGACGGUACUUGAGGAAUAAGCAUCGGCUAACUCUGUGCCAGCAGCCGCGGUAAUACAGAGGAUGCAAGCGUUAUCCGGAAUCACUGGGCAUAAAGCGUCUGUAGGUUGUUUGAUAAGUCUGCUGUUAAAGACUAGGGCUUAACCCUAGGACAGCAGUGGAAACUGUUAGACUUGAGUGUGGUAGAGGUAGAGGGAAUUCCUAGUGUAGCGGUGAAAUGCGUAGAUAUUAGGAAGAACACCAAUGGCGAAAGCACUCUACUGGGCCAUAACUGACACUGAGAGACGACAGCUAGGGGAGCAAAUGGGAUUAGAUACCCCAGUAGUC
rnacentral:rRNA from 1 species